rnacentral:rRNA from 1 species
UGCAGAAUCCCGUGAACCAUCGAGUUUUUGAACGCAAGUUGCGCCUGAGGCCGUUUGGCUGAGGGCACGCCUGCUUGGGCAUCAGUUGCCCCAUGGAUGCUUCGACCAAUCAAUACCUUUUUGUAUGGCCGGAUGCGGAGCCUAGCCCUCCGAGAUGCAAUUCUUGGUGGGCAGAAGUGUUGGGAUCGCUUGUUGGGGCUGGCAACGGGAGAGAGUGGACCGAUUGCUAGUUCGGGCCUGAUGUCGUCCAUGUUGCCACCCCACAAGGUGAACGCCUUGCUUGACCCUAGACGAGAUUUGCUGAUUUGCAUAUGCUCGCAGAAAGAUCCCAGGUCAGGCGGGGCCACCCGCCGAGUUUAAGCAUAUAAUUAAGCGGAGGAGAAGAAACUUACAAGGAUUCCCCUAGUAACGGCGAGCGAACCGGGAGUUGUCCAGCCUUAGAAUUGGUCGGCGCUGCCGCUCGA